GAACAUCCAAUGAUAAGCUAUGGUAGAUUGAAUUAUGUAAU
rnacentral:guide_RNA from 1 species